UACGGAGGGGGCAAGCGUUGUUCGGAUUUACUGGGCGUAAAGGGAGUGUAGGCGGUCGACCAAGUCCGAUGUGAAAUCCUUACCACUUAACGGAAGGGGGUCAUUGGAAACUGGUCGGCUAGAGUGAGGCAGAGGCAAGCGGAAUUCUCGGUGUAGCGGUGGAAUGUGUAGAUAUCGGGAAGAACAUCUGUGGCGAAGGCGGCUUGCUGGGCCUCUACUGACGCUGAGACUCGAAAGCGUGGGGAGCAAACGGG
rnacentral:rRNA from 1 species